UUUAGUAUUAGAGUUUGGUACAGUAAGCAUGAGAGUAAGUGUGAUUGAAAAAAUAAGUACAUAAUAAGAAAGAAGAGUACUGUAAAGGAAAUAAGUGGUGUGGAGUAUAAAGUAAUAGUUAGAAUAUGUACCUUUUGUAUCAUGGCUUAGCUAGAGUUAAAAUUAGAUUAGAUUUUUCUCGAAAUCCUAAGAUUUACCUUUGUUUCUUAUUUUAGUAAGAGGUGAUUUGAUGUGGUAAAAUCAUUUACAAAAACGAGGGUGGUAAUGAAAUAUUAUACGAAUAGGGAGAUAGCUAGUUCAUCCUAAAAUGUAUGUAGUGCAGGUGUCUAUUAUCUAAUAUUAUAAUACAAUAAAAAAUAAUAUUAUUAUAGAUCACUUAAUCCGUUAAAGAUAAGUUUGGCGGAAGCAAAAACAAAUGGUUUGAUGUAAGUAUAGAGCUUGGUUUAAUAUUAACCAUGUUGGGACAGUAUGUUAUAAUAGAUAGACAGAAUAUACUCUAUCUAAAUUGAAUUAUUAUAUUUGUUCAAGGAUGUAUAUUAAAAUUAAAAUAUAAUAAAUAUAAUAAGAAUGCUAAGAUGAGUAAUAUUCUAGUACGUGAUUAAUAAAUUAAAAUAGAAAAAAUUUAGUUGUGUUGUAUAGUGUAUAUACUUAAGAAUUCUUCUGAAGGAACUCGGCAAAUUAUUCUUCCGCCUGUUUAGCAAAAACAUGUCUCUCUGGUGCUGCAAGUAUGGAGAGUCGUGCCUGCCCAGUGGAGCUCCUCAGUCUCAACGGCCGCGGUACUUUGACCGUGCGAAGGUAGCAUAAUCAUUUGUCUAUUAAUUGUAGACUGGUAUGAAAGGUUUGACGAGAGGAAUGCUGUCUCCUGAUGGAAUGUUUUGAAAUUAACUUUUAGGUUAAAAGGCCUAGAUUUAAUAAAAGGACGAGAAGACCCUAGUUGAGCUUUAACUAUAUUUUGGUUAAAAUGUUCAAGUAUAAUAGUUUUAGUUGGGGCGACAGAGGAAACAUGUGAAGCUUCCUUAGGAUUGCUAUAUUAAAGUGUGAAUACGUAGACCCAGGUAUCAAAAUCUUGCUAAAGCGAGUGAGAGUAGCUGAUUAAUGGUGAAGUUACCAUAGGGAUAACAGCAUAAUACAAUUUGAGAGACCCUAUCGAAAGUUGUGAUUGUGACCUCGAUGUUGGACUAGAGUAUCCUAUAGGUGUAGAAGCUUGUGAGGGUUGGUCUGUUCGACCAUUAAAACUCU
rnacentral:rRNA from 1 species